rnacentral:lncRNA from 1 species
UUUUUUUCCUUAAACGAAAUUAAUAAUUGAAUAAAACCAAUCGAUAAUCAACUCUAUCUCUGUCUGGAAUAAAAAUAAAAUAUAAAAAUACUGAAUUACAUUUUUGGUCCUCAAACUAUAUGACGCGUGAUACUUUAGUUCUUAAACUUUAAUGCAUUAUAAUUUUUGGCUCAAACUAUAAGACACAUGAUACUUUAAUUCUCAAACUUUAAUUAGUUGUAAUUUCUGAUUCAAACUAUGAAGUAUACGAUAUUUUAGUCCUUAACUUUUACUGAUAUUAUAAAUAUAAUUUAUUAUUCUUAUGAUUUUGUCCUUAUUAUUUUCUUACUCUUCUUAUACUUUUAUUUUUAUGCUUUUACUGCAACAGCUGCAGUUUCUUUUUUAGUUUUUUUUAUUUUAUUCUUUUUUAUUCUUUGACUCUUCUUUUAUUAUUUUUUGCUAUUUUUUUCUUUAGCUUUAUUUAUUUAUUUGUUUCUGCAAAAUCGAUCUGCCACAACGCGCAUGUGCCUUCACUAGUUAAAAUAUUAUAUUUUCGUGAUUAGAAUUUUUGAGGUGAUUUUAGGAUGUUUUUAGGAGUACAAAUUGGAUGGAUUUUUGUGGAAUUGGAUUAAGAAAUCAUGUUAUAUGUGAUUUAGGACCCGGAUUAUCGCAAAUUUUGCCAUGGGUUUUUCCGAGCUAUUUGUUGGUGUUGUGGUAGCCGUGGGAGACCGUAGUUUGGAGUACCUCGUGGGUUCCAACGUCCUUUCCUUUCCGGGAAUAGCAACCUAAGUGGGUUCCUUGUCGUCGAAAACGGCGCAUUACCUUUUAUGUCUAUUAUUUUGCAUGCUUGAUUUUGAUGUCAUCAAAUUCUUGGCCUCCGUUUGGUUGGGGGUUAAGGGGUGGAAUAAUCCCUUAACCCCCAUUUUAUUUCCAAACACUUCUAAAAAUGGGUGGGGUUAGCUAACCCCACCUCAAAUGGGUUAUUCCGGAUUAGCUAAACCCACCAAACCCCAACCAAAUACUAUUUUCUAUUCAUAAUAACCCACUAUCCUUCUUAUCCCACCUACUCCAACCAAACACUAUUUUUCACUAUCCUCAACUAACUCCAAUCCCCAACCAAACACAAAAAUACUCUAACCCUACCUUAACCCUAAACUUAACCCUAUCCCUGGAAUAACUAGUUUUUCCUUAACCCCGAACCAAACGGUAGCUGAGGGUAUUACAGUGUUAGUAAAAGCAUGUGGAUAUUUCACUGAACAUG